UACGAAGGGGGCUAGCGUUGCUCGGAAUCACUGGGCGUAAAGGGUGCGUAGGCGGGUCUUUAAGUCAGGGGUGAAAUCCUGGAGCUCAACUCCAGAACUGCCUUUGAUACUGAGGAUCUUGAGUUCGGGAGAGGUGAGUGGAACUGCGAGUGUAGAGGUGAAAUUCGUAGAUAUUCGCAAGAACACUAGUGGCGAAGGCGGCUCACUGGCCCGAUACUGACGCUGAGGUGCGAAAGCGUGGGGAGCAAACAGG
rnacentral:rRNA from 1 species